CUCUCACCUGGGUUUCAUUAUUCACUUCUGCGUUCUCUCUCUCUCUUUUUUCUUAACUUUUUAUUCUUUUCAUAAAUCUUGUUGCCCCAAACUCAGAUUUGUGGAGCCUCUCAGUUUAAAUGACUAAUGGACUAGCUGUAGUUUUUGAGUCCCUAUUCCAAAUUAUUGAAGGAACAAACAAAGUUCUCUGGCUUGCACCCACAGUCCACUCUGGUUUCAGCCAUCUCUAGCCUGGCUCAGCAGGCCUGGAGGGAUGAUGCUGUCGACUCGUAGGCCAUGAGUUCCACUCCUUAAUGGGCAGGUAGGAGCAACUAUGAUGACAAGCUAGGCCCAGAGAAGAGGACAUGAGCCAGGCCAGCACCACAGGAGACCCAAGAACUGGAGAAGUUCUUCUUAAGAUUGAACUGAGGUUUUGGAGAAGCACCUGAAGAAAUGAGAAAGGAAAGACGCACACACACAGUUGCCUGGUUGGCCAACUCCGGGUGUCAGAUGGAGACACAGGUGUGGCAGAUUGAUCACCAGCAACCUAUGUAGAAUUGCCAGCUAAGUUUAGAUUCUGAGGAUAAUGCAUGGACGUCUCUGAGGAGGCACUCUUCUGCCCAUCAUGCACUGUGCUGAGGGAAGCCAGAUGACAAGAUAAACAGAUACAUGAAUUGCAUGCAUUUCUGUAUAUAUGUGCAUUUGUAUACAUACAUAACUUCACAUCAAGAAAUGCAUAUUGACAGAAGCAAAGAAAAUGCUGUAAUGGAGAAUAAAAUGGAGAACAAGUCUGUUGGAAGAGGAGACAUCUGUGCUGAGAACUGAAAGAGAAUACAAUCUCUCUUCCAAUUUCUCUUCUCUAAGAAAAUAGCUUUAUGGUUUAUACUCAUAAGAUUGUUUUGAGGAUUGAAUGAUGUGAAUGAUGUAAAUGAUGUAACAAUUUUUACAGAACAUCUAGUAGUAUCACUGAUGAUUCCCCAAUGCUUACAAUAGUUUCUUCACAGCGGUGGCUGCAGAACAGCGGUGGCUGUAGAACAGCGGAUUUUGGUGACCCGCAAAUGCUGCUGCCUGAUCAUUCCUCUGGAAGUUUUGUCUCAGAGGAGUACCCAGCCGUG
rnacentral:lncRNA from 10 species